GACGAACGUUGGCGGCGUGUCUAAGGCAUGCAAGUCGAGCGAAUCGUAUGACGUAGCAAUACGUCGUGCGGUUAGCGGCAAACGGGUGCGUAACACAUUGGUAAUCUACCCCCCAGUCGGGCACAACUCCGCGAAAGCGGGGCUAAUUCCACGAUGGCCAUGCGGAGACUUAUGUCAUCUGCAUGUAAAGCGCAAAACGCGCUGGGGGGAGGAGCCUAUGGCCCAUCAGCUAGUUGGCGGGGUAAAAGCCCACCAAGGCUACGACGGGUAUGGGGUGUGAGAGCACGACCCCACUCACUGGGACUGAGACACUGCCCAGACACCUACGGGUGGCUG
rnacentral:rRNA from 1 species